AAAGCAUGAAUCCAUGAGUAUGUAAAUCUAAAUAUUUUUAAGGUGAAAUAGUUAAGGUCUCAUAAUAGCAGUUAUUAUUAUUUCAGAUUUAUUUGUUUAUGUGUAGGAUUAGUAUUGGUUGAGUAAAUACAGGGUUGAUCUAUGUGGGGGACCCAGUGUGGAAGUUUUUAUUUAAUAUAAAGCCAUCAUUUUAUUGGGGGGGAUUCAUAAGUUUAACUUUUUGUCAUGUUUUAUUGUAGUAGCGAUGUUCCUUUCAAGUUUCUCCCCUAUCAGCUUUCGAUGGUAGUGUAUUGGACUACCAUGGCAGUAGCGGGUAGCGAAGAAUUUGGGUUCGAUUUCGGAGAGGGAGCCUGAGAGAUGGCUACCACAUCCAAGGAAGGCAGCAGGCGCGUAAAUUCCCCACUCCCGACGCAGGGAGGUAGUGACAAUAAAUCUCAAUAGGAACCUUUGGGUUUUGUAAUUGGAAUGAGAACAAUGUACAAUCCUUAUCGAUAAACAAUUGGAGGGCAAGUCUGGUGCCAGCAGCCGCGGUAAUCCAGCUCCAA
rnacentral:rRNA from 1 species